AUUGAACGCUGGCGGCAGGCUUAACACAUGCAAGUCGAGCGGAGAUGAGGUGCUUGCACCUUAUCUUAGCGGCGGACGGGUGAGUAAUGCUUAGGAAUCUGCCUAUUAGUGGGGGACAACAUUCCGAAAGGAAUGCUAAUACCGCAUACGUCCUACGGGAGAAAGCAGGGGAUCUUCGGACCUUGCGCUAAUAGAUGAGCCUAAGUCGGAUUAACUAGUUGGUGGGGUAAAGGCCUACCAAGGCGACGAUCUGUAGCGGGUCUGAGAGGAUGAUCCGCCACACUGGGACUGAGACACGGCCCAGACUCCUACGGGAGGCAGCAGUGGGGAAUAUUGGACAAUGGGGGGAACCCUGAUCCAGCCAUGCCGCGUGUGUGAAGAAGGCCUUAUGGUUGUAAAGCACUCUAAGCGAGGAGGAGGCUACUGAGACUAAUACUCUUGGAUAGUGGACGUUACUCGCAGAAUAAGCACCGGCUAACUCUGUGCCAGCAGCCGCCGUAACAC
rnacentral:rRNA from 1 species